rnacentral:rRNA from 1 species
GAUGAACGCUGGCGGCGUGCCUAAUACAUGCAAGUCGAGCGAACAGAUGAGGAGCUUGCUCCUCUGACGUUAGCGGCGGACGGGUGAGUAACACGUGGAUAACCUACCUAUAAGACUGGGAUAACUUCGGGAAACCGGCGCUAAUACCGGAUAAUAUAUUGAACCGCAUGGUUCAAUAGUGAAAGACGGUUUUGCUGUCACUUAUAGCUGGAUCCGCGCCGCAUUAGCUAGUUGGUAAGGUAACGGCUUACCAAGGCAACGAUGCGUAGCCGACCUGAGAGGGGGGUCGGCCACACGGGAACUGAGACACGGUCCAGACUCCUACGGGAGGCAGCAGUAGGGAAUCUUCCGCAAUGGGCGAAAGCUUGACGGAGCAACGCGGCGUGAGUGAUGAAGGUCUUCGGAGCGUAAAACUCUGUUAUUAGGGAAGAACAAAUGUGUAAGUAACUAUGCACGUCUUGACGGUACCUAAUCAGAAAGCCACGGCUAACUACGUG